UUUUUUUUUUUUUUUUGUCUUUUGUCUUUUUAGGGCCACACCCACGGCAUAUGGAGGUUCCCAGGCUAGGAGUCCAAUUGGAGCUACAGCUGCCAGCCUACGCCACAGCUCAUGGCAAUGCCAGAUCCUCAACCCACUGAGCAAGGCCAGGGAUCAAACCCAAAACCUCAUGGUUCCUAGUCAGAUUUGUUUCUGCUGCGCCACAACAGGAACUCCCCUGGAAUUCACAUUCUUAAGUUAUCCUCUUCCUUGAGUGUUGCUGGACCCAGUGACUCAAUUCUAACAAAAAGAAUACAGUACAAGUUAUGGAUGUGACUUCCAAAAGUAGGUUCUAGUAACACUCAGGCUCCUGUCCCCCGCCCCCCCCCCAUGUGUGUGUGUGUGUCUGUGUGUGUGUGUAUGUGCAGUGUGCAAUAGAGUAGCCUCUAGCUACGCGUGUUACAUAAGUGCUUGGAAUGUGGCUAUUCUGAUAGACGCUGAGUUUAAAACCCAACUGGAUUUCAAGGACGGUACCAAAAAAAAUAAUGUGAAAAUCUCAAUAAUAUGUACACUGACCAUACGCUGAAAUACAGUAUUCAGAUAUAUAGGUUUAAAUAAAAACAUUAAAAUUAACUCCACUGGUUUCUUUCUGUUUUUUUAAUGUGGAAAAUUUGAAAUUUCAUAUGUCAACCUGCCUUUGGGGGCCACAACAUAUUUCUUUUGAAGGCCACUGAUACAGAUGAUAUUUUACUUGGUGAAGGAACACAGGACCCAUCAGAUUUCCUUGUGCCAUUGCCGAAUGCAAAUCCACUUGAAGAUCACUGCCUUAAGAAUUUUUUCCUCCCAGUUUCUCCACCUGAGUAAUUCUGCCUCCAACCCUUCUUAAACUUAUAUUCUAGUCAUCCAAGUCAACUGAAAUAAAGGUGACUUUAAUGUCAUAAUUUCAAUGCACCAGAGGAUCCAGAAGAAGGGAGGGGGUAAAUAAAGAAGAAACCGGCUUUUUAAAACACUGUGACCAUUUGAUGCUUGAGUUCUGAAUAAGUUCUCCAUUUUCAACACUGAAUAAGUUCUCCAUUUUCAGUAAGGGAAUUUAUACAGUAAUUAACAAACACCCUGAAAGUGAUAGGAGAUACUCACUCAGGGACAAACACGAGAACGUGUUUCCAGCAGGACUGGGUCUGAUGCCCUCCCCUAAGCAACAAACCCUCUUUCCUAGGCCAACAGGUAAGCAGGAGACACUAAUAUGAGCCCUCAAAAAAAGCAUCUGGAAGGUAAAUAGAUUCACAUGUUUAAUCUGACAUUAUUGGAACAUUUUUCCUGCACCGUGAAAACUCUGCUUUAAUAAUUAAGUUGUUUUCCUCAGAGCACCUCAGCCUACUUAUAAACACCUCUUCAUUUCAAGUUAGAUUCCUUGGGCUUGAUUGAUUUUAAUGUUUAAAAGCCUAAAUUCGGGCAUUGUUUGAUUGUCUAAUCCAUGGCUGAUGCCCUGUGGGUUUGUAGUUCAGCUCUGGGCAGGGGGUAGAGAAGAGGGGUUUUUGUUGUCAUUGGGUUUUGUUUUGCUUUUUGCAGUUUUUAGUAAAUUCCUACACCCACAGUGGAAGGGAAGGAACAAAAGGGACAGGGAAGGGAAAUUUCUGACAGUUUUCAGGACCCUUCAGUAUGCACGUAAUGAAAACCCGGUAGAAUUAUCAGUAGUGUGCGCUUCUGUUAGGCAUUGAUCACAGCUCUUUAAAACUAUCUAGCACCCUCCACCUUGUCGUUCAAGCCAGAAAUCCGGGUGAUAAAUCUAGAGUCCUCACUUUCUUUCACUUCCCAACACGAUCAGUCACCAACAUUUGUAGCUUCAAACUUUCUUAAUGUCUCUUGAAUCACAUUCACCCUUCCUUCCUACCCCUCCCUCCUUUCAGAUGCCCGAGCACCUCUGCCGGAGUUGCUUCAACCCUCUUCUAACUGGCCUUCCCAGGUCUUGCCUCUCUGCUACUCAAUCUGCUUAAAACCUCCAUGGCUCCCUACUGUCCACAGGACAAGUUCAGACUUCUCAACGGAGUAUAUUCUUCAUGAGCUGCCCUGAGGCUGACCAUCAUGGGGUAGGGGGUGUAAAGAGAGACCAAAAUGGACAGCAGAUUUGGGGCAUGUUAAGGCAUUUAGUCAUUAUCUUUUGAGCAAUAGGAAGUCAAAAACGGUCAGUUUUAAGUAGGGUCAUACAUGAGCAGAUUUGCAUAGUGUUUGAAAGCAAGGGUUCUAGAAUCAAAUUUUUUUUCUUUUUUUUUUUUUGUCUUUUUGCCAUUUCUUGGACUGCUCCCGCAACACAUGGAGGUUCCCAGGCUAGGGGUCGAAUCGGAGUUGUAGCCACUGGCCUACCCCAGAGCCACAGCAACACAGGAUCCGAGCCACGUCUGCAACCUACACCACAGCUCACAGCAACGCAGGAUCUUCAACCCACUGAGCAAGGCCAGGGAUCAAACCCACAACCUUAUGGUUCCUAGUCGGAUUCGUUAACCACUGAGCCAUGACGGGAACUCCCUAGAAUCAAAUUUAAGUCAAAGUCUGACUGCACCACUUAGCUGUAUGUCCUUGGGCAAGUUACUUAACCUUUCUGAGUUGGUUUCUUUUUCUUUCUUUCUUUUUUUUUUUUUUUUUUUUUUUUGUCUUUUUCUUUUAGGGCCGCACCUGCGGCAUAUGGAGGUUCUUAGGCUAGGGGUCGAAGGGAGCUACAGCUGCUGGCCUACACCACAGUGACAGCAACGCUAGAUCCAAGCCUCAUCUGUGACCUACAUCACAGCUCACAGCAACACCAGAUCCUUAACCCACUGAGCAAGGCCAGGGAUCGAACCCACGACCUCAUGGUUUCUAGUGGGAUUCAUUUCCACUGCGCCACAACAGGAACUCCUGGUUUCUUUGACUAUAAAAGGGAAGUUAAGACCCCUAUAAGAUAGGCGCUAUUGUGAUAUCUAAUUGAGGUAUUGAUAUCUCACUGAGGUAGUGCCCAGCAUUACUAUCCAGCACAUAGUAAGCACCCAACUAAUCAUAACUAAUAUUACCAUGAAUAACUUAAUCUUCCUAUGCUUCUUCUAAGAAGCUCUCUAUGAGCCCUCAAGACUGAGUU
rnacentral:lncRNA from 1 species